rnacentral:lncRNA from 12 species
AUACAGUCGUUGCUCCCCCUAGUGGAGAUGGAGGGAUGUGUUGCUGUAGCUCAAGAGGGGAAGGCCUACUCCCAAAACACAGAGCUCAAAUGGAAGGACAAGAGGAUAACUCAAAGCAUGAAAUACCAGGAAGGAGUAAAAGGAAUGCACACACUCCUUGUGGAGGUGGGGGCCCAAAACGUCUCUCCGUCUCCAUGUCCAUCUCACUCUCUUCUGACCCAGAUACACACCAACCUGAGGGACCGUCUUGAACACCAUGUUCAGAUCGGCCUCUGUCCUCCACAGCCUGCUUUAAUUUGGUCUGGAUCUCACAGAGUGAACUCAGGCAAGGAGCUGCUGUACACUCACACCCGUGUGUCUGUGUCCGGACACCCUCAGCACAACACCUUCACAAUGACGCUCAGAAACAUCAGCAGCAGUCAGCGCUCCAACUACUCACUGAUCACAGAGUGGCGUGUAGGAAACUGGAGUGUGGAAUUGGCCUGCAGUUCUCUGUCUUCAGGCAGGAACGUGGUGGUCCAGGGUCAUGCAAAACUAGACCGCAGUGAAAUGCUCUGGAUGCAGGGGGCGCUGGGAAAACGCUGCCUUCGAGCUGCUGCUGGAUACGACACUGAAAUGUCUGAUGAAAUCAGAGUGGCGUUUUGUUCGGAGGGACAUCACUGGUUUACCCUGGAGGCUCAGCGAGGCGGUCGUGGCAUUGAAAAUGAGUCCCUUACCCUUAUUUCUGUAGGAGCAGCCAAUCAGAGUCUGCUAUUUCAAGCUAAGGGAUGUAGGGAAUGCCUGUGGGCCGCGGAGGCACGGCUCCAGCAGCUGGGGUCUCGGAUAAGGAGUAAACUGUUGGACAGAGUUCAGAGACUUCAGCAUCUACUGUUAACUUUCAGACGACAGGUUUGUUAUAUCUCACAGGCUGUACUGCCAUAUAUUUGGACUAUGUUAAAGGGUUAUUUCAGCCAAAAAAUGAAAAAUCACUUCAAUCAUUCACCCUCAUGUGGUUCCAAACCUGUAUGCCUGUCUGUCUUCUGUGGACUGUAACAGGAGAUAUGUUGAAGAAUGUGUCCUUGGGGUUCAGUUUUGGACACCACCGACUUUCACUGUAUGGACAGUUGAGACAUUCUUUAACCUCCAUCCGUCCCUCGGGUCAUUUUGACCCGAAAAUGAUUUUCAAAAAAAAUCAAAAAAUUUUGUGUUGAUCGUAACGGUCCAAGAUUCCUUUACUUUUGUCACACUUGCACCCAAAGAAAAAUUUGAGUGGAUUCGAGGAGUUUAAAUGGGUGCAAUAAAAAAGUAACAAAAGUGCCCCGUAUUUUGACCUGCAUAGGAAUGAAUGGAAUUUACGAAAAAAAUGCUUUUGAUAUACAAAAUCUGAGAAAAUUCACUAAAGAUUUAUACCCAAACGAAGGGCUGAGACUACAGAAUAUACCCAAUGCAGAAAAAACUCACAUACACACACACAUGGUACACACACUCCCACAGAACACAUUAUAAUAUGUUUCAUGUUUCUGCUGGGAUAUGACUGUCUUCUAGGCAGGGGACAGCAUGUUCCUGCUGGAGCUGAGUGAGGGGCCGCUGUCUCUGACUCAGCAAGCCGAGACUCUGCUGCUUCAGAGAGCAGGAGUGCUGUGGAAAGCAUGGACCACCGGCCUGCUCCGACACACGCUCACACACAGCCUACCGCACACUCUCCAUGUCCUGCAUCUCAUAUCUCAACAGGUCCAACAAGAGCUCAGGAGUGAGUUUGCCUUAUUAAGUUUUCUAUGUCACUGAUAAUUCAUUCAGGUUACCGCUGAUUUUAUUUACAAUCACAUGCACAGUCCCCUUUGAGGCGAACUGGGUGAAUCACAGGAAACACAUACAUUUAUUUUCUAAAAUACGGAGCACAUGUUAAACUGAUUUUCUGUGGCAACGUAAGGUCACAGUAUCAGUAAUUGAUCUUGACAGCAUCUUAGUGGCAUCACUGCAUAAGCAUCUGUAAAUCAGUCGCAAUUAUGCACCAGCACAACUGUGGUUUUAUGUCAUCACCUUUCAUUUGAAAAUGCCUGUCAGUGUGUAUUAGUGUUAUUGUAGUUUUAAUUUUUCCCAGAACCCCUGGCUACCCUAGCUGGAGCAUACCACGAUGUGACAGGGGUGCGUUUGGACAUGGCGUGGCAGCAAGGAGUGCAGCUGUGGACCAGAGAACUGACGGAGCUUUUGCCUGCAAUACUUCACGAUCCUCAACUGAGGGCGCCAUCGCUGACCGCUUUGCAUGUUGCCAUUUUUGCAAUAGACAUGGCAAGAAAGAUGCAUUUCUCUGUUUUCCUGUCAUUACAGGGGGCGUUUACGCUUCACCAUUUUCAACUAAAAACAGAAAACUUUUUAUGCAUUAAUUUACACAACAACAGCAUUUUGAGAGCCUGAAAAAGCAAACUUUUGAAAACAUGCCAAGUUUUGGAAAACAAUACUCUGUGUAAACUACAAAAUGCAAACUGGCAUCAUGCGUAUGUGUAUUAUGUGUUCAGUCUAUAGGCAUGACCAAGUGACAUCGCCAACUACUGGCCUAGCAUGCAUAACAGAGCAUUCUUAGUAGUUUUCGUUUUCAGUUCAUCAUAGUUAUGUAAAUGUACCCCUGGACUGUUGAUUGAGUAGGAUAGAGUUAUUAAGAGUAUGUCUGUCACGUUCUUCAGGUGG